rnacentral:rRNA from 1 species
CGAACACUGGCGGCGUGGAUUAGGCAUGCAAGUCGAACGAGAAAGUUUCCUUCGGGAAACGAGUACAGUGGCGAACGGGUGAGUAACGCGUGGGAAAUCUGCCCUUUUGUGGGGGAUAACAGUUCUAACGAACUGCUAAUACCGCAUAAGCCCUCUGGAUCGCAUGACCCGGAGGGGAAAGAUGGCCUCUACAUGUAAGCUGUCGUAGAAGGAUGAUCCCGCGUCCCAUUAGCUAGUUGGUGGGGUAAAAGCCUACCAAGGCGACGAUGGGUAGCCGGCCUGAGAGGGUGUCCGGCCACACUGGGACUGAGAUACGGCCCAGACUCCUACGGGAGGCAGCAGUCGAGAAGCUUCCGCAAUGGGGGAAACCCUGACGGAGCGACGCCGCGUGAGUGAAGAAGGCCCUAUGGGUUGUAAAGCUCUGUCAGAUUGGGAAGAAAACUCUACGGGUAAUAUCCGUAGAGCUUGACGGUACCAUCAGAGGAAGCACCGGCUAACUCC